UAUAGAGGGAUGAUGGAGGGAUGAUGGAGGGAUGAGGAGGAAGGAUGAUUGAGGGAUUAUAGAGGGGGGAGGAUGGAUGGAUGAUUAUAGAGGGAUGUCCACGACAGAGACCGGUCCAGGAUGAGGUCUUAGUCCACGACAGAGACCGGUCCAGGAUGAGGUCUUAGUCCACGACAGAGACCGGUCCAGGAUGAGGUCUUAGUCCACGACAGAGACCGGUCCAGGAUGAGGUCUUAGUCCACGACAGAGACCGGUCCAGGAUGAGGUCUUAGUCCACGACAGAGACCGGUCCAGGAUGGGGUCUUAGUCCACGACAGAGACCGGUCCAGGAUGAGGUCUUAGUCCACGACAGAGACCGGUCCAGGAUGAGGUCUUAGUCCACGACAGAGACCGGUCCAGGAUGGGGUCUUAGUCCACGACAGAGACCGGUCCAGGAUGAGGUCUUAGUCCACGACAGAGACCGGUCCAGGAUGGGGUCUUAGUCCACGACAGAGACCGGUCCAGGAUGGGGUCUUAGUCCACGACAGAGACCGGUCCAGGAUGGGGUAAACAUAAGGGCCACUCAUGACAACGUUAAUGUGGUAAUGUGUAUCAUAAAUGACACACACCCAUAUGUGAUGGUUUACCAUCUGUUCAUAAAGUGUCUCUUAUUGACUUUAAGUGGCAUCCAUCGCAGCCUUAAGGUUGAUAACAACAAUGGAACUCUUUGUAUAAAAUGCUAUUUGAUAUAUAUUGUGAUGUGAUGAUGUCUUUCCCUUAUUAAAGUGAAGUGACCUGAGCUGUUUGA